rnacentral:rRNA from 1 species
UACGGGGGGAGCAAGCGUUGUUCGGAUUUACUGGGCGUAAAGGGCGCGUAGGCGGUCAGCACAAGUCAGUUGUGAAAUCUCCGGGCUUAACCCGGAAAGGUCAACUGAUACUGUGCGACUAGAGUGCGGAAGGGGCAACUGGAAUUCUUGGUGUAGCGGUGAAAUGCGUAGAUAUCAAGAGGAACACCUGCGGCGAAGGCGGGUUGCUGGGCCGACACUGACGCUGAGGCGCGAAAGCCAGGGGAGCGAACGGG